GCUGUCAGUGCAGAGCAAGAGCUAUGUUCUGAAACACAGCAGACCUGCAGUGGACCUGGGAGCCUCUCUUAGCCAGCCAUUACCCUCUGGAUCAUGAUUUUUUACUCACUUGCUCCAUGAAGCAGAUGACUAAGGGUGAGCUUCCUAAAGGCUUUCAAAGAAUGCUGUUAGUGCCAGCCCCACUUUCUGCAGCCCUGCCUGGGAGUCCUGAUGCCUGGCCAUGAAGAUCUAGGAGCUCUGCUGAUUCAUCUGCUGCCCCUUGAGGAGCCUGACCUAGGUCUUGGAAGAUGCUCUCCUGCACUCAAGAUGGAAUAUGCCACCUGAGGAAACAACAUGCCUAAGUCUAUGGAACCUGAUGAGGCCUGAGAAAAUUGGCUAGUGUCGGUCCCAAGCCACUCUCCAUGACCUUUGAAAAGUCAUCACAG
rnacentral:lncRNA from 1 species